AUAAAAAAUGGGCCAUACCGUAAACAGUCGUCAUGAUUAGUCUUCUCUUCAACACUUUCCCCUCUCUUCUUUCAACUUUCCUGCAAUCAUUCCCACCCUUGUUUCUCUCUCUCUCUUCGGCUCUUUGGCAAAUUGCAUCUUCCAUCAUUAUUCAAACCCUAAAGUUCCGAAUUUUGCACGCAUAAAACGAUUUUCGAUCUCCUUGGGGAGAUUUGGUACAUUUUCACGGCUAUUUUGUUGUUAGAAAAGGAAAUUUAAAAUGCAUCACGCUCCGGCGACGGUUGAGGAGCAAUUGAUUUUGAAAGCUAUAAGAGAGGAGUGUCCAUGGGAGAAUCUGCCUAAAAGGCUGCAAUCUACUCUUGCUUCUAAAGAAGAAUGGCACAGGAGGGUGAUUGUACAUUGUAUAAAAAAAAGACUUCAAUGGAGUACAUGUUUUGCUCGCAAAGUAAUCAAAGAAAGUGAGUACUAUGAGGAGAUGAUGCGGUAUCUAAGAAGAAAUCUCGCGCUGUUCCCUUACCACCUCUCAGAAUAUGUAUGCCGAGUAAUGAGGAUCUCACCUUUUAGAUAUUACUGUGAUAUAAUAUUUGAGGUUAUGAAAAAUGAGCAACCUUAUGAUAGCAUUCCAAAUUUUACUGCAGCAGAUGCAUUGAGAAUCACAGGAAUAGGGAGGAAUGAAUUCAUUGAUAUCAUGAACAAAUGUAGAUCUAAGAAAUUCAUGUGGAAAAUUAAUAAGUCAAUUGCAAAAGAACUUUUACCGACGCAGCCAGUUGAUUUUCCAAUCGAACCUUGGUGGGGAGUUUGUCUAGUCAACUUCACUGUUGAAGAAUUUAAGAAACUUUCAGAAAAAGAAAUGGCAACAAUUGAUAAAGUUUGCAAGGAAGAAGCCAAUUCAUAUGUUCUUUUUGAUCCCGACGUUAUAAAGGGGCUAUAUCAGCGGGGUUUAAUAUAUUUUGAUGUCCCUGUCUAUCCAAAUGACCGUUUCAAAGUUUCCAGGCUGGAGGGUUUUGUUUCAAACAGGGAGCAGUCAUAUGAAGAUCCUAUUGAGGAGUUACUUUAUGCAGUUUUCGUUGUUUCAAGUGAGCAUGCAACUGUAGAAGAACUUUCCACCACAUUACAGGCUGAUCUCUUGCAGUUGCAAGCUGCCGCAUCUUUCUCAUGCCGAUUGGGAUGGGCUGAGAAAAUAAUUGACCCAGCAUCUGUUCUUCAGGAUGCUAGUCUCCAUGGAUCUCUUGUUCUUGGUGAUGACGAAGAUGGUUCUCGGGCUAGUGCUGGCUCAUCGAAAAUAUCAGUGGAUGGAGGCAGUGUUAAUCAGGAUUAUUCAGGGUCAGAAAGUAUAGCAGCUUCGAAUAGUGCCCGUGUUGCUUUUAUUGUUGAUGCUAAUAUAACUUCAUACCUCAUGAUGGGAUCUGUUUCACCAGGCUUAAAAUCGCAUGCUGUAACACUAUAUGAAGCAGGUAAGUUGGGUCAUGCAAGCAUUGCAGAACUUUGCAAGGAUCUGAGUACAUUAGAAGGAGCCAAAUUUGAGGGUGAAUUACAGGAAUUUGCAAAUCAUGCGUCUAGCCUCCGUUGUGUCCUAGAAUGUCUGCUUUCUGGUGGAGUUUCUGAUAGUGUUGAAGAGAUUGAAAAUGGAAGUAAGAUGGACAUAGUAUCCUCAGAAAGAAAUAAUGGUACCAUACCUGUUGAGACAGGCCUUGCUGACAAUGUUGAGGGUCUUAAUGGUGGUGAGUUCAUUACUUUAAAAUCUCAAAAUAAUACAACAGUUUCAGAAGCAUUGGAAGAUGUAGCCUCAGAAAAUGAAGCCUCCUCAAAUUUAACGUCUACAGUCAACUCUGAUGACACAAAAACUGUCACAGAAAAUCAUGAAAUCUUCACAGUCUCCUCUAAUGCUGUGGAUGAUACUAGUGAGGCCUUAAAGUUGGAAGCUAUUUUGGAGGAUAAUGAGAAAACAGUCCUGGAAAGUGGUUCUUCUAAAACUAAGAGGAGUUAUCGUUUGGAUCUUCUUCGCUGUGAAAGUUUGGCCAAUCUUCCACCUGCAACUUUGGAUAGAUUGUUUCAUCAAGACUACGAUAUUGUCUUAUCUAUGAUUCCUCUGCCUCCCUCCUCCAUUUUGCCUGGACCAACUGGUGCUGUGCACUUUGGACCUCCAUCUCAUUCAUCCAUGACACCUUGGAUGAAAUUGGUUUUGUACUCAGCUGUAGGCAGUGGACCUUUGUCUGUUGUACUUAUGAAGGGCCAAUAUCUACGUUUUCUUCCUGCACCCUUGGCUGGCUGUGAGAAAGCUCUUAUAUGGUCAUGGGAUGGGUCUACAGUUGGAGGGGUUGGGGGAAAGUUUGAAGGAAGUUUGGUGAAAGGAACUAUUCUUCUGCAUUGCCUUAAUUCACUUCUUAGGCAUUCUGCUGUACUUGUGCAGCCUCUCAGCAAGUAUGACCUAGAUGAAUCUGGGAAAAUUGUAACAAUUGAUGUCCCACUGCCAUUAAAGAACCAUGAUGGUUCAUUUGUGCAAGUGGGGGAAGAGUUAGGGUUAAGCAUUGAUGAAAGUGCAAGGUUGGAGUCGCUAGUAAGGGACAUAGUGUGUAGAAUUGAUUUGUGGACUAUUGGUUAUAUUCGCCUAUUGAGACUCUUUAUUGAGAGGGAUUCAGAUAACUUAGCACCUGAUGAUGAGAGAUAUGAAUGGGUCCCACUAAGUUUAGAAUUUGGUGUUCCUCUAUUCAGUCCGAAACUUUGCAAGAGUAUGUGCAAAAGGGUGAUAUAUUCACAAUUGCUUCAAACAGAGUCCUUUGAUGAAUACCAUGAAGCAAUGCAAGGGUUAAGGAGAAGGUUACGUGAUGUAUGUGCGGAGUACAGUGCCACUGGUCCUGCUGCAAAGCUUUUAUACCAGAAAGAGAAAUCAGAGGAUAAGUCUCGGAAACUCAUGACCUAUGCGAGUGGCAGAUGGAACCCUCUUGCGGAACCAUCUUCUCCCAUUGCUGGAGUUACUGCUGACCAGCAGAGAAAGAAACUUUCAUUAAGGCAGCGUUCAAGAAGAGAAGUUCUUAGCUUUGAUGGUAGUAUUCUUAGAUCAUAUGCUUUGAGUCCUGUGUAUGAGGCUGCCACAAGGCCAAUUGAUGAAUCAGCUCCAACAUCAAUACCAAAAGGUGAAUCAGAUGAUGCUGACAGUAAAGAUUUGGUCCUGCCAGGUGUAACUCUCCUGUUCGAUGGAGCAGAGCUGGAACCUUUUGAGAUAGGUGCUUGUCUCCAGGCUCGACAACCGAUUGCUUUAAUCUCAGAGGCCUCAUCAGCAACCUCUGCGCUGGCAGCUAAAUAGGCUGCACGGGUCGUUUCUUCUGUCAUCAUUUAUAAGAUAUUACCAUCUGUAUACUGCAUUCUGGUUUGUUUCGCCAUGAAUCAGCACCCUGGUUGUUGUCUUCUCCUCUUCAUCUUGGAGGUCAUUCAAUAUCUAUUGUCUGCAUUAUCAUAAGGUGAAGCAGGGUGGCUUGUACGCUGUGCAUGCUGCUGAAGUAAACUACAACAGACGUGAACGUGUUUUUAACUAGAAAAAGAUUUUGCUUUUUGAAAUUCUUUUUGGGUUUCCUCUUGGAAUGUAGUAUAAUUUGGGAGAUAAAAGGUCUUAUUGUAAAGCCUGAUGUCCUUGCCUUUGAGCAAUUUCCUCCUCAUGGGAUAUGGAUAAGAAACCUCGAGGAGGAUCCAAUUAAAUAAACAAAUAGUAGUAAUUUAAAUGUAAUUGGUUUUUUGAUUCGAUAGUUCAUUUUUUGCUUUCCCAAACGUGUGUCAAUGUGAUCUUCAAAAUAAGACAUGAAUAAGACAUUUUUUUUAAGAAUAUUUAUAUUUUUUUUCGCUUUUUCUUAA